rnacentral:rRNA from 1 species
AUACGGAGGGUGCAAGCGUUGUCCGGAUUUAUUGGGUUUAAAGGGUGCGUAGGUGGUUUUUUAAGUCAGUGGUGAAAGCCUACAGCUUAACUGUAGAGGUGCCAUUGAAACUGGAAGACUUGAGUAGGGACGAGGUAGGCGGAAUUUGUGGUGUAGCGGUGAAAUGCAUAGAUACCACAAAGAACACCGAUAGCGAAGGCAGCUUACUAGGCCAUAACUGACACUGAGGCACGAAAGUGUGGGGAGCGAACAGGAUUAGAAACCCCAGUAGUCC